GACGUAGGGUCCAAGCGUUGUCCGGAUUUACUGGGCGUAAAGAGCGCGCAGGCGGUCGGAUAAGUCGAAUGUGAAAGCCCCUGGCUCAACCAGGGAGGGUCAUUCGAUACUGUUCGACUCGAAGGCAGGAGAGGGAAGUGGAAUUCCGGGUGUAGUGGUGAAAUGCGUAGAUAUCCGGAGGAACACCAGUGGCGAAGGCGACUUUCUGGCCUGUUCUUGACGCUGAGGCGCGAAAGCUAGGGGAGCAAACGGG
rnacentral:rRNA from 1 species